rnacentral:rRNA from 1 species
CUCCUUUGACGUUAGCGGCGGACGGGUGAGUAACACGUGGGUAACCUACCUAUAAGACUGGGAUAACUUCGGGAAACCGGAGCUAAUACCGGAUAAUAUUUCGAACCGCAUGGUUCGAUAGUGAAAGAUGGUUUUUGCUAUCACUUAUAGAUGGACCCGCGCCGUAUUAGCUAGUUGGUAAGGUAACGGCUUACCAAGGCGACGAUACGUAGCCGACCUGAGAGGGUGAUCGGCCACACUGGAACUUAGACACGGUCCAGACUCCUACGGGAGGCAGCAGUC